rnacentral:misc_RNA from 1 species
ACAGAGGGAAACCAACUAUAUGGUUGGUUACCCGAAAUCCUGUAUUCACCCCAAGUUCCUUUAAAACUUUUUAAUAAAACUUGUAAAAGACCACCUCAGUUGGUGGCUCAUAAUACAUACGA